CCUACGGGUGGCAGCAGUUAGGAAUAUUGGGCAAUGGAGGAAACUCUGACCCAGCAACGCCGCGUGAAGGAAGAAGGUUUUCGGAUUGUAAACUUCUGAUCUGUGGGACGAAGAAAGUGACGGUACCACAGGAGAAAGCCACGGCUAACUACGUGCCAGCAGCCGCGGUAAUACGUAGGUGGCGAGCGUUGUCCGGAAUAACUGGGCGUAAAGGGAGCGUAGGUGGUUGAUUAAGUUAAAUGUGAAAGCCCAGGGCUCAACUCUGGAACUGCAUUUAAUACUGGUCGGCUAGAGUACAGGAGGGGUAAACGGAAUUUCUAGUGUAGCAGUGAAAUGCGUAGAUAUUUGGAAGAACACCGAUGGCGAAGGCAGCCCCCUGGGACGCAACUGACGCUCAUACACGAAAGCGUGGGGAGCAAACAGGAUUAGAUACCCCAGUAGUC
rnacentral:rRNA from 1 species